GACGAACGCUGGCGGCGUGCUUAACACAUGCCAGUCGAACGGAAAGGCCCUGCUUUUGUGGCGUGCUCGAGUGGCGAACGGGUGAGUAACACGUGAGUAACCUGCCCUUGUCUUUCGGAUAUCUUCAGGAAACUGCGGCUAAUACCGGAUAGGAUCUCCUGCUGCAUGGUGGGGGUUGGAAAGUUUCGGCGGUUGGGGAUGUACUCGCGGCUUAUCAGCUUGUUGGUGGGGUAGUGGCUUACCAAGGCUUUGACGGGUAGCCGGCCUGAGAGGGUGACCGGCCACAUGAGGACUGAGAGACGGCGCAGAAGCGUACGGGAGGCAGCAGUGGGGAGUAUGGCAGAAUGGGCGGAAGCCUGAUGCAGAAACGCCGCGUGCGGGAUGACGGCCUUCGGGGUGUAAACCGCUGUCGCCGGUGACGAAGCGGGAGUGACGGUAAUGGGUAAAGAAGCACCGGCUAACUACGUG
rnacentral:rRNA from 1 species